GCCAGCUUAGCUCAUCUGGUAGAGCAACGGUUUUGUAAACCGUAGGUGGUCGGUUCGAGUCCGACAGCUGGCUCCA
rnacentral:tRNA from 1 species